rnacentral:sRNA from 1 species
AGGAUCAUUACUGAUGAUGAGAGAAAACGCAAGCUGGGUCUCAUGUCUCUGAACGGGCACCGGUUACUCCGGUUUUAAAAGACUUUCGCCCGAUUCGAGCGGAACGAUGAAAGGGAUAAAAUUCCCGGUCGGUCUCCUCCGGAGAAACGAUUUUCUUGGCAUGAAAUGAAAUGAAAUGAAAAAUAAAAAGAAAUCCUAAACGGUGGAUCACUCGGCUCGUGGAUCGAUGAAGGACGCAGCAAACUGCGCGUCGAAUUGUGAACUGCAGGACACAUGAACAUCGACGCUUCGAACGCACAUUGCAGCCCACGGAUUCUGUUCCCGGGCUACGCCUGGCUGAGGGCCGGCAAAUGAGUUCACCCGCCAUUUAUGGUGCCGGUAUACUGGGGCGAGGGGCUCCCGCCAGACGGGAAGUCGCCGCCCUGAUGAUGAGAGGGCGCCCGAGGAGGACGGGUGGGACCCGCCGUCGUCUUCGUCGACGCGACGCUUUCGAGUUCUCUCGAGACGGCGUCCCGCGAUCGACGGAGUCGAAUACCGGCCGCGUCCAUCAUCGCCCUCCUCUUCGAAGGCACUCCUUUCUGAACGCCGACCUCAGAGCAGGUGAGACCACCCGCUGAAUUUAAGCA